AGAGUUUGAUCAUGGCUCAGGAUGAACGCUAGCGGCAGGCUUAACACAUGCAAGUCGAGGGGCAGCAUACCCAGCAAUGGGUGAUGGCGACCGGCGGAAGGGUGCGUAACGCGUGAGCAACAUACCCUAUACAGGGGGAUAAGCCAGGGAAACUUGGUCUAAUAUCCCAUAGGAAAUAGAUAAGGCAUCUUGUUUAUUUUAAAGCUUCGGUGGUAUAGGAUUGGCUCGCGUGACAUUAGCUAGAUGGAGGGGUAACGGCCCACCAUGGCAAUGAUGUCUAGGGGUUCUGAGAGGAAGAUCCCCCACACUGGGACUGAGACACGGCCCAGACUCCUACGGGAGGCAGCAGUGAGGAAUAUUGGACAAUAGAUGGAAAUCUGAUCCAGCCAUGCCGCGUGCAGGAAGACGGCCCUAUGGGUUGUAAACUGCUUUUAUACGGGAGCAAUAAGGUCUAUGCAUAGAUUGAUGAGAGUACCGUAUGAAUAAGCAUCGGCUAACUCCGUGCCAGCAGCCGCGGUAAUACGGAGGAUGCGAGCGUUAUCCGGAUUUAUUGGGUUUAAAGGGUGCGUAGGCGGCUUUGUAAGUCAGCGGUGAAAUUUUG
rnacentral:rRNA from 1 species